rnacentral:rRNA from 1 species
GAUGAACGCUGGCGGCGUGCCUAAUACAUGCAAGUCGAGCGAAGCGGGGACGCGUGAGUAACACGUGUAUAACCUCCUAUUAGACUGGGAUACCUUAGGGAAACCGGAGUUAUACCGCAUACUUAUGUAUGCAUUCACGCUGGAUUAGCUAGUUGGUAAGGUAACGGCUUACCAAGGCAACGAUGCAUAGCCGACCGGUGAGGGGGAACGGCCACACUGGAACGGGGAAACGGUCCAGCCUCUUACGGGAGGCAGCAGGAGGGAAUCUUCCGCAAUGGGCGAAAGCCUUACGGAGAAACGCGGGGUGAGUGAGGAAGGUCUUGGGAUCGUAAAACUCUUUAAUUAGGGAAGCGGUACCUAAUCAGAAAGCCACGGCUAACUACGUGCCAGCCGCCGCGGUAAUAC